UACGAAGGGGGCUAGCGUUGCUCGGAAUCACUGGGCGUAAAGGGUGCGUAGGCGGGUCUUUAAGUCAGAGGUGAAAUCCUGGAGCUCAACUCCAGAACUGCCUUUGAUACUGAAGAUCUUGAGUUCGGGAGAGGUGAGUGGAACUGCGAGUGUAGAGGUGAAAUUCGUAGAUAUUCGCAAGAACACCAGUGGCGAAGGCGACUUACUGGACACAUAUUGACGCUGAAGUGCGAAAGCGUGGGGAGCAAACAGG
rnacentral:rRNA from 1 species